GACGAACGCUGGCGGCGUGCCUAAUACAUGCAAGUUGAGCGCUGAAGGUUGGUACUUGUACCAACUGGAUGAGCAGCGAACGGGUGAGUAACGCGUGGGGAAUCUGCCUUUGAGCGGGGGACAACAUUUGGAAACGAAUGCUAAUACCGCAUAAAAACUUUAAACACAAGUUUUAAGUUUGAAAGAUGCAAUUGCAUCACUCAAAGAUGAUCCCGCGUUGUAUUAGCUAGUUGGUGAGGUAAAGGCUCACCAAGGCGAUGAUACAUAGCCGACCUGAGAGGGUGAUCGGCCACAUUGGGCCUGAGACACGGCCCAAACUCCUACGGGAGGCAGCAGUAGAGAAUCUUCGGCAAUAGACGAAAGUCUGACCGAGCAACGCCGCGUGAGGGAAGAAGGUUUUCGGAUCGUAAAACUCUGUUGGUAGAGAAGAACGUUGGUGAGAGUGGAAAGCUCAUCAAGUGACGGUAACUACCCAGAAAGGGACGGCUAACUACGUG
rnacentral:rRNA from 1 species